rnacentral:rRNA from 1 species
AUUGAACGCUGGCGGCAGGCCUAACACAUGCAAGUCGAGCGGAAACGAGUUAUCUGAACCUUCGGGGAACGAUAACGGCGUCGAGCGGCGGACGGGUGAGUAAUGCCUAGGAAAUUGCCCUGAUGUGGGGGAUAACCAUUGGAAACGAUGGCUAAUACCGCAUAAUGCCUACGGGCCAAAGAGGGGGACCUUCGGGCCUCUCGCGUCAGGAUAUGCCUAGGUGGGAUUAGCUAGUUGGUGAGGUAAUGGCUCACCAAGGCGACGAUCCCUAGCUGGUCUGAGAGGAUGAUCAGCCACACUGGAACUGAGACACGGUCCAGACUCCUACGGGAGGCAGCAGUGGGGAAUAUUGCACAAUGGGCGCAAGCCUGAUGCAGCCAUGCCGCGUGUGUGAAGAAGGCCUUCGGGUUGUAAAGCACUUUCAGUAGGGAGGAAGGUUCAUGCGUUAAUAGCGUAUGGAUUUGACGUUACCUACAGAAGAAGCACC